rnacentral:rRNA from 1 species
UACGUAGGGGGCUAGCGUUGUCCGGAUUCAUUGGGCGUAAAGAGCUCGUAGGCGGCUGUUCAAGUCGAACGUGAAAACUCGGAGCUCAACUCCGAGCCUGCGUUCGAUACUGGACGGCUAGAGUCUGGUAGGGGGAUCUGGAAUUCCUGGUGUAGCGGUGGAAUGCGCAGAUAUCGGGAGGAACACCGGUGGCGAAGGCGGUUCUCUGGGCCUUACCUGACGCUGAGGAGCGAAAGCGUGGGGAGCGAACAGG